rnacentral:misc_RNA from 1 species
GAAAUGCGAUAAGUAAUGUGAAUUGCGGAAUUCAGUGAAUCAUCGAAUCUUUGAACGCACCUUGCGCUCCUUGGUAUUCCGAGGAGCAUGCCUGUUUGAGUGUCAUGGAAUUCUCAACUCUAUUUGCUUUUGUGAAUAGAGCUUGGAUUUGGAGGUUUAUUGCUGGUACUUGUGAUCGGCUCCUCUUGAAUGCAUUAGCUCGAACCUUUGCGGAUCAGCUAUCGGUGUGAUAAUUGUCUACGCCGUUGCAGUGAAGCAUAUCAAUGGGCUCGGCUUCCAAUCGUCCUUUACUGGACAAUGACUUUGACCUUUGACCUCAAAUCAGGUAGGAUUACCCGCUGAACUUAAGC